CCCAAGUUGCUGGGAUUACAGGCUCACGUCACCACACCUGGUCCCCCUAUGUUAUUGGGGACAGAAUUGUGCCCAGACAAGAAAAUGAUGUUUCCCAGCCUCCCCUGCAGCUGAGUGGGGACAACCAUUGAGAUGCCGUUGCAGGGCUCCGCUUUGGAGCGGGCAUUGGAGGAAUUCUUUGACCACCAAGCAGCCUCCAUACCUCCCUCCUACAUAACAGAGCCACCGAGAGGCUGUUUGCAUUCUGCCUGCUUUCUCUUUUUCCGUUGCAGUAGUUUAUUAAUUAGUGUGCAAAAAAUAAAAAGGAGGUAAUAACCUUAUUUAUGUGCUAGUCCACGUGUUCAGUGUGCUCAUUUUUUCUGCAGCCUGGCAUCGGGAACCGGAACGUUUGGCCCCAGGAGAGGGGGCCGGGACCCUGGGUGCCAGAAUCUUACAGUGCGGAGGCGACAGGCCAACGCAGUU
rnacentral:lncRNA from 1 species